rnacentral:ncRNA from 1 species
AAUCUAUUUAAUUCUGGUUGCGGGAGUGUAGAAAGAUUGUGUUACAUAAGGAGUUUUUAUUUGUUUAUUUGGGACUUGUUUUUUUCUUGUUUAGUGCUUAGUAAUUAGAUCUCAAUUAAUUAGGGAAACCUAGAUUGGGCUUUCUUUGAGAUAGUGGUUAGUUCACAGUGCCAGCAACUGCGGUUAUUCUGUAAUCUGUCGUUACUCCUUUAAGAGUUGGUAAAAAGUUUUUAUGGGUUAUGUUGGAUAAUUGAGUUUAAUCUUUAUUUCCUUUUGUUACUUGCUUGUAAAUAAGAUUAUAUGCACUGUUUAAAGAAAAGGAUUAGAGACCCUUGUAUUUGGUGUUUGAUUUUAUGUGCCAUAGUUUAAAACUAAAAGAAUUUGGCAGCUGAUGAGUUUCGUCCGGGGGAGUGUGUAUCAUAAGAGAUGUUCCACUAAAAAUUUUACCAUCUUUAUUUGUGUUGGUGUAUAUCCGGUUUUUAAAUUUAUAGUUAAUGCUGUGGAUGUAAUUUUGUUAUUUAAUCCAGGUCGAUGUGCUGCUAAUAGGAUGGUGAGUAUGCACUACAUUAUUUAAAAUGAAUUGUAAAUGGAAUAUUUAUUUUAUAUUUAGAACUCGGCAGUAGGUAGAUGUCGCUGAGUUUAGUUUGGUCUAUCGAAUUUAGAUUUAGUUGGGGCACACACCGCCCGUCACCCAGGGUGUUAACUGUGGUAAGUCGUAACAUGGUAGUAUUUGGGGAACCAGGUGCUAGUUGGUU